CCUCAGAUGAGGCCUUCCGCGUUUGCCGAGGAGAGAGGCAGCGGCGGGGACCAUCGCCUCCCUCCACGGCGAACGCGGAAGGUCUUGUGAGAAGAGCUAGGCCUCAGUUGAGGCCUUCGCCUGGGAGGGAGGUGAUGGUCCUCCCAGCUGCCGCUGCGGCCACCAAAGGAGAAGCAGAAGUCGAGAUCUUAAAUGGAGCUUGUGCAGCGGAAAUCGAUCCUCAGAUGGUUACGUCGUGGUUGCAAACUCCAUCCUUCCGUUAAGCACCCUGCAUUAUACUAUGGACAAAAAAGGGCAACACAUGCACAAGGGAACCUAUGGACAUCAUCUGCGUACAGAUGACACCGCACCCCGAAACUCCGGAUGAUCUCUCCCAGCGGCUUCAUGUAGAUGUUGAACAACAUGGGGGACAGUACCGAACCCUGUGGGACCCCAUAAGUCAACGGUUGUGGGGCCGAGCAGGCGUCCCCCAGUCUCCUCACAAUGAACUAGGAGAUUUGAGGGGAGCAUGUAAUGGAUUUGUGCCAGAGCUCCAUGGUCUGCUUCCUGUUCUUUCCUGAGAUGAUGAUGAUGAUGAUGAUGAUGAUAAUUUAUUUAUAUCCCGCCACCAUCUCCCAGAGGGACUCGGGGCGGCUAACAGAACACUCAAGGUGUGACAUACAAAAUACAACAAGUGCAAACAAAACAUAGGCAAUAAACAGUCAUAUGAACACGGAUAUCUGUGGGAAGGAUCCAUCUCCCAUGCUCCAAAGCCAGCCAACUCCCACAAUUUCUAACAGCCAGAAGGAGACAAGAGGGCUGAGAGAAGGGGACACGGGGGGCAGGUUUAAAUAUUUGAAAGGAUGUCAUAUUGAGGAGGGAACAGGCUUGUCUUUUUCUGCUACACAGACUGGGACUCUCUUGCUGGUACGUGAAGCGAUUUAUAGUUUCCAAAUCACAACUUCCCUGAACCACUGCAAGCUGGAUAGCAAGCAAAAUACAGCGGAGCCCUUUCAAAGCAAAAACACGCUUCAGCCCGUCUAUCAGCAGAGUCCAACUCCCAGCAUCUGUCCUUAUCUACACACUGUUUAGUAAGCUCACAGAUUCAGGUUUUCGUUUAAAAAAUUCCAAAAUAUCCAGAGGCUUUAAUCUUCACCAUUUACAAUCAGGAAUCAGGAUUCACAGAUCCUCAUUCCUGGUACUUGCAAACAAUCAGAGUAAUUAAACAGUCACAUACAACACAGGCAGAUACUCACACUGAGUCACACAGGAGAGAAGAAGAGGGAUUCUUUCAUCCUCCUUAUAUAGCCACCUCCUGAUAGGUUAUACAUGUCUCGAUACAAUGCCACAUGAAUUUUGAAUUUAUAUUGUAGUUGUUUUUCUUAAUUUGUUAAUUUUAUUAUGCUUAUAUUUAUUGUUGAUGUACUCUGAUGGUCGUUUAUGUGAUUUUAAUAUGUUGUAAGCCACUUUGGGUCCCAUGAGGGAGAAAAGCAGUAUAUAAAUAAAGAUUUGUUGUUGUUGUUGU